UUGUAAGUCUAGCAUCUAAGCUCCUUCCAUGGGUAAUUGAUCCGUGGUUUCUUUCUUAACUAUAAUGCAAAUGUCCGAAUGGUGAUGAACUAAACAACAUUAUUGCUACUAAUUUUCUUUGAAAACAACCUGCAUACCAGAAAAAUUCACUAAUUUCACUAAGAUAAAUUCCCUAAAUUCGCCAUUAUCCUACUCAGUACUGCUGCCAGAAAAACUUACGGCUACCCAACUUUCAAAGUUUCCCCAACAAAUAGACAACAACAGGUGAGAACUAGCAAAAGCCCAAGGUGAUUUAUCUGCAAUUAAAGAAGGGGGUCUUUUGCACAAUCGUAACCGUCAAAAUUCAUAACAGGGAGCCCCCCAGAAAUGUAGAUUAUCAUCAAGGGUUCUAACUUUCCAAUAACUCUUCCCAGAAACGCAAAUUUUUAUCGGAUGGGCAGAAACAAAUCUUCCUCUGCAGCAUAAGUCCGCACAGUAAUCCUCCACCACCACCCUCAUUUUUUAGUUCCUUGAGUUUUCCGGCCACCUCCGUUCUGACUCCGUUCCAUGCUUUCAAAACAUUGGACGCCGUCGACGAAGACAACGUCGUCGAUUUAGCACCAUCCGACGACAAGUCCAACAACGAGAAGUCAAAGUCACAAGAUUCUCCACCGCAUGACUGCAUGCUCCUACUCGA
rnacentral:lncRNA from 1 species